rnacentral:rRNA from 1 species
AGGACGAACGCUGGCGGCGUGGCUUCAUACAUGCAAGUCGAACGAGAAGCAGUCUUCGGACUGUGGAAAGUGGCGGACGGGUGAGUAAUAUGUAGAGAAUCUGCCCUUGAGAGGGGGACGAACAGUUGGAAACGACUGCUAAUACCCAUAUGAGCGUAGCUGAAAUGCUAUUCUUGAAAACUCCGGUGCUCAAGGAUGAGUCUGCAUCUGAUUAGCUAGUUGGUGGUGUAAUGGACUACCAAGGCGACGAUCAGUAGCUGGUUUGAGAGGAUGAUCAGCCACAAUGGGACUGAGACACGGCCCAUACUCCUACGGGAGGCAGCAGUAGGGAAUUUUGCGCAAUGGGGGGAAAAACCCCUGACGCAGCAACGCCGCGUGAACGAGAAGCCCUUCGGGGUGUAAAGUUUUGUCAGUGGGGACGAACAAAUGACGGUACCCACAGAGGAAGCACCGGCUAACUCCGUGCCAGCCGCCGC